rnacentral:lncRNA from 1 species
CGGAAGGAUCCUUAAAGAAAGCACAAUGGUAAUGCUGAAAUAUAGGAUAAAAGUUAUCUUUACAUUUUGUGAAAAGCUCAUGAGUAAGUUUAUUUAGUUGCCUAAGUAAUGGUGGAUGGGAAUGAUAACCAAGGUGACGCUGGCAUGCUAAGCGUUCGAUAGCAGGAAGGACAGUGUCUGUGUUUCAUCAGGAAAUAAGCAGGAAAAAGUGGGUAUCAAAAUAAGAAAUCUUGCUGUAACUCAAUGAAGAAAGUUCCCAUCUAAUGGCUUAGCUUUUUGUUUCUUUUAUUUUUUAAUCAAGCACUUUAUUUAAAUAAGAAUGACAUGUAAAAUAUGUGUAUCUUUUAUUUCUUGAAUAGAAAAUUUAUCGUAUGCCUCUGUUGCCCCCAACUUUCAUCAUGUAGUAAUGACCUCCAGUUGAGACAUAGCUUCAGCUGAAUUAUGUAUGGUCUUGGGCUUAA